rnacentral:rRNA from 1 species
UACGUAGGGUGCAAGCGUUGUCCGGAAUUAUUGGGCGUAAAGAGCUCGUAGGCGGUCUGUCGCGUCGGCUGUGAAAACCCGAGGCCCAACCUCGGGCCUGCAGUCGAUACGGGCAAACUAGAGUACUGCAGGGGAGACUGGAAUUCCUGGUGUAGCGGUGAAAUGCGUAGAUAUCUGGAGGAACACCGGUGGCGAAGGCGGCAUCCUGGACCAACACUGACGCUGAGUGAGCGAAAGCCAGGGGAGCAAACGGG